GUGCCAGCCGCCGCGGUAAUACGUAGGGUGCAAGCGUUAAUCGGAAUUACUGGGCGUAAAGCGUGCGCAGGCGGUCCGGAAAGAAAGAUGUGAAAUCCCAGGGCUCAACCUUGGAACUGCAUUUUUAACUACCGGACUAGAGUAUGUCAGAGGGAGGUGGAAUUCCACGUGUAGCAGUGAAAUGCGUAGAUAUGUGGAGGAACACCGAUGGCGAAGGCAGCCUCCUGGGAUAAUACUGACGCUCAUGCACGAAAGCGUGGGGAGCAAACAGGAUUAGAUACCCUGGUAGUCCACGCCCUAAACGAUGUCAACUAGCUGUUGGGGCCUUCGGGCCUUAGUAGCGCAGCUAACGCGUGAAGUUGACCGCCUGGGGAGUACGGUCGCAAGAUUAAAACUCAAAGGAAUUGACGGGGACCCGCACAAGCGGUGGAUGAUGUGGAUUAAUUCGAUGCAACGCGAAAAACCUUACCUACCCUUGACAUGUCUGGAAUCCCAGAGAGAUUUGGGAGUGCUCGCAAGAGAACCGGAACACAGGUGCUGCAUGGCUGUCGUCAGCUCGUGUCGUGAGAUGUUGGGUUAAGUCCCGCAACGAGCGCAACCCUUGUCAUUAGUUGCUACGAAAGGGCACUCUAAUGAGACUGCCGGUGACAAACCGGAGGAAGGUGGGGAUGACGUCAAGUCCUCAUGGCCCUUAUGGGUAGGGCUUCACACGUCAUACAAUGGUCGGGACAGAGGGUCGCCAACCCGCGAGGGGGAGCCAAUCCCAGAAACCCGAUCGUAGUCCGGAUCGCAGUCUGCAACUCGACUGCGUGAAGUCGGAAUCGCUAGUAAUCGCGGAUCAGAAUGUCGCGGUGAAUACGUUCCCGGGUCUUGUACACACCGCCCGUCACACCAUGGGAGUGGGUUCUACCAGAAGUAGUUAGCCUAACCGUAAGGAGGGCGAUUACCACGGUAGGGUUCAUGACUGGGGUGAAGUCGUAACAAGGUAGCC
rnacentral:rRNA from 1 species